rnacentral:rRNA from 1 species
UACGUAGGGUGCAAGCGUUAAUCGGAAUUACUGGGCGUAAAGCGUGCGCAGGCGGUUGUGCAAGACCGAUGUGAAAUCCCCGGGCUUAACCUGGGAAUGGCAUUGGUGACUGCACGGCUAGAGUGUGUCAGAGGGGGGUAGAAUUCCACGUGUAGCAGUGAAAUGCGUAGAGAUCGGAAAGAACACCAACGGCGAAAGCACUCUGCUGGGCCGACACUGACACUGAGAGACGAAAGCUAGGGGAGCGAAUGGG